UGGACGUUAGCUGCAGAAGAAGCACGGCCUAACUCCGUGCCAGCAGCCGCGGUAAUACGGAGGGUGCGAGCGUUAAUCGGAAUUACUGGGCGUAAAGCGCAUGCAGGUGGUUUGUUAAGUCAGAUGUGAAAGCCCGGGGCUCAACCUCGGAAUUGCAUUGAAACUGGCAGACUAGAGUACUGUAGAGGGGGGUAGAAUUUCAGGUGUAGCGGUGAAAUGCGUAGAGAUCUGAAGGAAUACCGGUGGCGAAGGCGGCCCCCUGGACAGAUACUGACAUUCAGAUGCGAAAGCGUGGGGAGCAAACAGGAUUAGAUACCCUGGUAGUCCACGCCGUAAACGAUGUCUACUUGGAGGUUGUGCCCUUGAGCCGUGGCUUUCGGAGCUAACGCGUUAAGUAGACCGCCUGGGGAGUACGGUCGCAAGAUUAAAACUCAAAUGAAUUGACGGGGGCCCGCCCAAGCGGUGGAGCAUGUGGUUUAAUUGGAUGCAACGCGAAGAACCUUACUUACUCUUGACAUCCAGAGAACUUUCCAGAGACGGUUUGGUGCCUUCGGGAAUUUUGAGACAGGUGCUGCAUGGCGGUCGUCAGCUCGUGUUGUGAAAUGUUGGGUUAAGUCCCGCAACGAGCGCAACCCUUAUCCUUGUUUGCCAGCACUUCGGGUGGGAACUCCAGGGAGACUGCCGGUGAUAAACCGGAGGAAGGUGGGGACGACGUCAAGUCAUCAUGGCCCUUACGAGUAGGGCUACACACGUGCUACAAUGGCGCAUACAGAGGGCGGCCAACUUGCGAAAGUGAGCGAAUCCCAAAAAGUGCGUCGUAGUCCGGAUCGGAGUCUGCAACUCGACUCCAUGAAGUCGGAAUCGCUAGUAAUCGUGGAUCAGAAUGCCACGGUGAAUACGUUCCCGGGCCUUGUACACACCGCCCGUCACACCAUGGGAGUGGGCUGCAAAAGAAGUGGG
rnacentral:rRNA from 1 species